UGAGGAAUAUUGGUCAAUGGGCGGGAGCCUGAACCAGCCAUCCCGCGUGCAGGAAGACGGCCCUAUGGGUUGUAAACUGCUUUUGUGCAGGAAGAACGCCAGGUAUGUAUACCUGGGUGACGGUACUGCAUGAAUAAGCACCGGCUAACUCCGUGCCAGCAGCCGCGGUAAUACGGAGGGUGCAAGCGUUAUCCGGAUUUAUUGGGUUUAAAGGGUGCGUAGGCGGUAAAUUAAGUCAGUGGUGAAAACCUGAGGCUCAACCGUAGACGUGCCAUUGAAACUGCUUUACUUGAGUAAGCAGGAGGUAGGCGGAAU
rnacentral:rRNA from 1 species